AGAGCGAACGCUGGCGGCGUGCUUAACACAUGCAAGUCGAACGCGCAGCAUUCUGUAGCAAUACAGGGUGUGGGCGCGUGGCGAACGGGUGCGUAACACGUGGAUAACCUUCCUUGAGGUGGGGAAUAACCCAGUGAAAAUUGGGCUAAUACCGCAUAACAUCGCAAUGGCACAUGCUGAUGC
rnacentral:rRNA from 1 species